AUUUCCAAGACACUUCUUUUGGGUAAAAUUUUCAUCUGACACGAAGAUCCUGGUUGGCCACGUUCGAUGACGCUUUCAAAUUAGUGUCAAGCUAGCUCCCACUAGCUCCUUCUAAUUCACACGUCCAUGGAACCUGCGUUCUGCAGCUGACUUCACACUGGCUCUAAUCCGUCCCCUGUAUAUUGCAGUGGAUCUAACGCUGAAGUCAGUUAUUAUAGAAUCGUCCCAGUGAUGAAGAAUUAAUAGGUUUAAUUGCGAAAUACUGCGGUUCUAGAAGAAAAGAUUAAGGCACGUACUCUGGUGCGAAUUCCUAACCAAGUUAAACAAAUAAUGCAAAAUUCAUUACUCGUGGAAAUAUUAGCGAACGGAGGACUGAAUCUCAGAGCAGAGAACAAAAAUCGAGAAUCGAAGACUUAGCCAAUUACUGGGCAACCUAAUGAAUAUCAGCAACACAACAGAAACUUAAUAACUUAAUAACCAAAAACAAAUCCAGAACCAAAACCAGAACUAGAGCCUGAAAUAGAAGCAGAACUAUUAUUAAUGCAAUCAUUGUGACAGAUGGUUCUACAUUUGUUACAGUUGUCUUAAAUAUGGAGGACAAGGCUGCUUCUAGGAAGAUAAGAGUUCCCAUAGUGCAUAAAAUAAUACACAUUAUGUAGCAUUACAUAAUGAUUACAUGGAAGUUCAAUAAUUGUUUUAUAUGAAGUAAAAAGUGAGAGGAUACUAUAAACAAAUGCUACAAGUGAAAAUUUAUAAGCAUAAUUUUCAUAAUUUAUGGUGAGGCAUGGAAUAUAUAAAUGUGUAUGUAAAUUAGAG